GUAUGAGGCGAGCUCGCUGCUGCAGCUUAGAUCUCGGACGACUACCGUGGCCUGCAGGCUGAUGUGUGGAUUUUUGGGUGCUUAUCCUUGUGCUCAGCACCAUGGACGCCUCCACCGUUUUGCUGCCCAGGAGAAGCAUCUGCAACCUCGUCCCUCUCCCCUCGUACCUCCUUUCGGCUUCAGCCUGCAGUCACCUCCCUUUGGGCCAUAGGAAGCAGCAUCAGCCGAUGCCCCACAACGAUGCACGGCCGCAUCCCCUGCAGGUCCAGGAAGUCAGGACGACUCACCGCUCCUCUCCAUUCCCGGUGAUAUUUCCUGCCCAGCACAAGGUUACGAGCUGCAGCGAGGGGCCGCAACCUAUCGGCGUGAGCAGCGUUCAAGACCAUCGGCGCCAUGCGUCGAGUGGAAACGGCGGGCACGGUCCAGACAUCAGGGAAGCUACUAUUCAACAGAGACACAAGUAACAACAAUAUUCCACAUAAAAAAAUGAUAGGAUUUUCAAUUCCAACACGAGGUCUAUAUACUAUGAUCCAACCAUCUAAAAUAAUCCAACGGUGUUUGACCCUUCCAGCUGCAGAACAUGCCGAAGAACAAUAAUCCAAAAAAAAAAGAGGGAUUCUAUUAACCAACUCUGUUACAGCUGACAGAGUUGAGUGUAUAAGCUAGCGACAGAGGCUGCAAGCAUGGGUUACAAUGAGGCUGCAAGCAUGGCUUACCUAAGUGGAGCGUCAUUUGUUGUUUAAAUUUCCUACUAUUGAUACUGUGGUUCUGUCUUCGUGUCUGAUGGACUAUCACUUAAGUCUCGGGAUUUGCCGGCAUUGUUUCUAGCUGUUAGGUUGUACAUCAUCUCACCCACACAAUGCUGGAUUCAGAGAAGGCGGGGGUCCGUGGAUGCUAGCAAGGGAGGCAACUUGGCUCGGACCGGCCAUAGCGCUGGUGUUGUUGUCUCCCCACCGUCCUCCUUUGUCUCCCAGCCACGGCUGGCUUCAAUCUCUCCUCUGAUGUGAUGCUAUGUGAGCAAGAAAAAGAGCAGAAAAGUUCUGUAUCACCAUCCAGCGUCCACACAGCCAGAUAAGUUUUGGAUAACACAUGUACUCUGACCUGCUCAAUAGUCUGAAAUGCCUUCAUUAUUAGGCAGAUAAUGUUACUGCUCUGAAUAAUUCUUUUUUGUUUAGAGCAACGGUGUUUUGAGUAACUCUCCUAGGUAUUAUAUAUUGCUAUAUUUAUGCUGAUACUGAAUUUUGCAUUCUGAAGUAGCUUAGCGUAAUUUGCAGUCCUGAUUAGUGAAAGUAUCCCAGCACAAGGUAUAUGUGAUUUCAAUCUUUCUCUCUGAAUUAUCCCUGACUGUGUAUCUGUUCGUAGUGGGAAUGGAUCUUCCCACCUGAUUCGUAGCCUUUACAUUGUUUCUAUAGGUGCAUAUUGUGCCAUACCAGAUCUAUUUUCUGAGCUGCAUGUUGAUAGAUGGUACAUGUUGUAGUAGCAAGAAAACUGGUUGUGAAAUAUACAUUGGCUUCUUGUUCUGAUCUGAUGUAGGUAUUAUUAGUCAUUUAUUAUUUAUCCCUAUCAAUAUGGUGCUUAAAAAUAAUAGUUUUGAGUUAUCUACAUUCCGUUCUAUGCUAUGUAGGCCAAUAUAGAUAUGCUUAGUAUUGUAAACAAGUAUGCAAAGGUGUCACAAUAAUUACUUGAUCUUACUCUAUUUCCUCUAACAUUUAUUACAUGACAUUAAGUUGAUAUGUUGCAUUUAGGAGCGAACCUUCUAAAUAUGGUGAUGCCCAUUACUUUUUAAAAAACUAUAAUCGAUCAUUUCAUGUCAUGAGAAUGAGUGGGCAGCCCAUAUAACCUAAUAAGAGAGUUCAUGUAGCAGUAGUCUGCUUUCUGUAGCAAUAACUUGUUUUGUGGUGUUUGGUCUUUAAUUCUUAUUUAUCAUAUAUGAUUGCUUGAGGUUUGCUAAUCCAUGGUUUGAUCCUGAAAUUUACUUACAUAUAUCUAUGGGAUGCCGCAGACAAGGGGACAAGGAGGUGAGCAACGGCGAUGAGGGAGGAGCAGACUCACCGGCUCGGACUCCUCGGCGUUGGAGAAGCAUGGUCGGGAGGCAGUGCGGGCGCCGCUGCCUCGUGCCUCGCUCGGGCCGCUGCGUAGAGCGCCAGGAGGCCAUGGUAGCCGCCGGUCGCGGGCAUCAGGCUGUGGCCGCGUCAGCCGCCGCCCCAGCGGUCUUCUCUCUCUACCCACAGGGUGGUCGCCCUCUCUGGUGCGUCGGAGCGCCGGAUCGGGCGAUGUGAAUCAAUGGUGAGCCAAGCUGCAUGGAGCAGCCAUUGGUGGAGAGGACACCACGCCGACGAGCAGUGGUGGUCACCCAGAUCCCAGCAAAGCAUGGGGACGGGUGUCCUCUGCCAGAGCCGGGCUUCCUUGUCAACGAUCUCACCAUCUACAGCAGCUCCGCAGCCUUGCAGUGUAUUGCUUGCUGAAAAAUUGUCAAUGAAUCAAGUCGUGGGGAAAAAGUGAAAGGCAAAGCGAGUUAUGACAAUAAUGUGUGAUUGUUCUGAAAGUGAGCAGACAUACGGCAGUACUCUAGCCAUAGAGUGAGAUGGAAAAUUAAGUCCAUGUCCAGGAUGGUGCGGGCUGGAGCGGUGGAGGUUCGGCGUCUUCGCCUCACUGCCGUGCAUAGAGCUGCUUCUACUGCUAUGCCUCUCUUCUCAAUGUCUCUUGGGUUGUUUCUUGCUGCUGCUGCUGGCAGUUGGCUGAGGUUUUUCAUGUUCAGAGAUAUUUGGAUAGCUGCUACUAUCUAGAGGUUUAAUAGGCCAGAAUCUGGAAGCUCCAUGUUGCCAGUUUGAUCUAACCAAUAUAUUUUCAGACUUGAUAUCCCUAAAAAAAUGCCCAUUUGGUGCAAGUUGACCCAGUUAAAUUAUUAUUUGCCCCUUUGAUAUCCCCAAAAAAUGCUCAUUUAGAGGUUUGGAGUUUAUUUAUCAAGCACUUGGAUUGUUACUUCUAUGAUGUUUUCUUCCUUGCACUUGCUUUCGUUGCUUGGUUUUGAAAAAAAGGUAGAUCUCUCUGGAACCCUUGUUUCUCUUUAAUGAGUUUAAUGGCCAAUCGUUGUUACUCCUCUGUUGUUUGGUUCCUUGCAAUUACUUAUGUUUAGCUGGUUGGUUCUUGCUUUUGGAAUAAUACAUGGUUCUUACAAAAACCUUGUUUCAGCUUUAGCAAGUUCGUACCCAUGGAUACAGUUUUAAUUAACAAUUUGUUCCUUGUUUUCGCCUACGCUCUCCAUAUGUGGCUUACCGUUACAUUCUUGAUGUUCGUUUCUUCCUCUACUUUGUUUUUCUUUGGUGUGUGAUUUAGGUGGAGUAAAGGUUUGCGGGCCAAGCAUUAUUUCUACGCACUUUUCUUGCUUUUCCUUGCUUCUGUUGUAUUUCUUCUUGCUGUUGAAAAGAUGUAAAUCGGUGAAAGAUGUUUAUUUAUCUUGGAUAAGUUUGCGCUCAUGGAAAAAAGGUUUGUUGGACACCCACUGUUUAUUUUUAUGGAGUUUUCUUCUGUUUGUUCUUAUUUAUUUACUUCUUAGUUUCGAGUAGAUAAAAAAUUGUCGGUACUUCUCUUAUCUUUGGUGAGUUGGUAUCUGAUUGUGUGGCCAUGAAAGAAAUGUGUUCUGCUCAAGCAUUGGUAUUUCUAUGCCAUUUCCUUACUUUCGCUUGCUUCUAUUUAAUUAUUUGUUUGUACUAAAAUGAUAUAUCUCUCUCAGAAAAGCUUGUCGCGGUCACCAAGAGCUCGCCUGGGAGCCGCCGUGAGCACUCUGUCUUCUGGGAGCCGCCAUGAAUCUUGCACACGACGUCACGUGAUUUGUUGUGCAGUUUUUUUUUGUAUCUCCUCCUCCUGAACUUGGUCAUGUUCUUCUAUUUUCAUCUGCAGGAAUUAAACGAUGCGGUACAACAACUUCAGCAGGGGACAGUGAAGACCAUGGGAGGGGCUUGGGGAACUAUGGGCAGCGGCAUGCAGAGCUGAUGCCAGUGCACCAACGGGAGCUUCUGACAGAACUCGAUCCCAUGUUACUGUUAACACAGAAAAAACAGAGGAAUCUCAAUGUCCGGAGGAAGCUAAGCUUCAUCGCCACCGCCCCUCGCUUCCUUACGUCUUCCACCACCGGUGUCCAACGUGAUGUUCACCGGCAGACCAAGCUCAAAGAUGGAGUUAGAGUUGAAGUGAGGUUUCUCCAGUGUGAUUUGUCAGGUUGGCUACCGCCUCGUGAAUUUGUACAUGAUGAGACGGUCUGGUAGUAAUUUAUGCUAUAAAUAUGAGUUUUUCAUGCAAUAAAUUUAAGUUUGAAUCA